rnacentral:rRNA from 1 species
AGUCUGACCCCAGCAACCCCCGCGUGAGUGAAAAAGGUUUUUCGGUUGUAAAGCCUUUUUUUCCAGAAAGAAAUCGCCAAGGAGAAUAUCCGGGUACCUUGACGGUACCCAAAGAAAAAACCCCGGCUAAAUUCGUGCCCGCAGCCGCGGUAAUACGUAGGGGGCCAGCGUUUUUCUGAAAUUUUGGGGGUAAAACGCGCGCCGGGCGGUCGUUUAAUUUGAUGUGAAAACCCCCGGGUUCAACCUUGGGUGUCAUUGGAAACUGGGAGACUUGAGUGCAGGAGAGGAAAGUGGAAUUCCACGUGUAGCGGUGAAAUGCGUAGAGAUGUGGAGGAACACCAGUGGCGAAGGCGACUUUCUGGCCUGUAACUGACGCUGAGGCGCGAAAGCGUGGGGAGCAAACAGGAUUAGAUACCCUGGUAGUCCACGCCGUAAACGAUGAGUGCUAGGUGU